rnacentral:rRNA from 1 species
GACGAACGCUGGCGGCGUGCUUAACACAUGCAAGUCGAACGGAAAGGCCCUUCGGGGUACUCGAGUGGCGAACGGGUGAGUAACACGUGGGUGAUCCGCCCUGCACUUUGGGAUAAGCCUGGGAAACUGGGUCUAAUACCGAAUAGGACCACGCGCUUCAUGGUGUGUGGUGGAAAGCUUUUGCGGUGUGGGAUGGGCCCGCGGCCUAUCAGCUUGUUGGUGGGGUAAUGGCCUACCAAGGCGACGACGGGUAGCCGGCCUGAGAGGGUGACCGGCCACACUGGGACUGAGAUACGGCCCAGACUCCUACGGGAGGCAGCAGUGGGGAAUAUUGCACAAUGGGCGCAAGCCUGAUGCAGCGACGCCGCGUGAGGGAUGACGGCCUUCGGGUUGUAAACCUCUUUCACCAGGGACGAAGCGUAAGUGACGGUACCUGGAGAAGAAGCACCGGCCAACUACGUG